CCCUCUGAUACAGCCUUUGAGAUGGCAGUUCUCUCAGCACAGAUCCCCAAGUUGAAGCAGGCGUUUUCUACAUUACAGCCUGAUGCAGAGAAAUAAUCAAACGCUUAAAUGAGAGUUGUCGAAUGCAUUUCAGGCAUUGGCUCACCUGUGAAAACCGUCCCGUCAUGUGUCAGGAGUGCCGCCCCGACUCGGAACUUGCUGUAGGGGCAGUAGGCAAAUUUCCUGGCCUCGAGGGAUUUCUGAAUCAACUCUUUCAUUCCAGAGAAGUGUUCAUUCAACCCCUUAAUUAGCUCACGUCUCAUCUUUUGAUCUCCCAUGUUGCUGUGCUGUGUGUAUUGUGUUUCUGUGGCUCUACAGACUUGCCUGUGACUUUGUUUUUCCAGAUCCGGCAUCCAAUCCCCUUUUCCCAGAUCUCCCACCUCCCUGACGUUCUGUGUUUGAUGUGUGUGAUGCUGUCACGCUGCAAGGUUAUGUAAUUUCCAGUCUAGAGUCGACACAGCAACCUUUUCCUUGCCACACCGAGAGACAGUGAGGAAGAUGAGAAUAAAAACCCUGCUGCUCGGAUUCACCUGGCAGGAGUCUUUGCCGCCCAGCGGAGAGCCGGCGCACACCAUGUUGUCUGUGAUUCUGUAGUAGUAGUAGUAUUGACACUGAGGGAUGAUCUGGACAUCCACAGCACGCAGGACA